rnacentral:rRNA from 1 species
GAUGAACGCUGGCGGCGUGCCUAAUACAUGCAAGUCGAGCGUACGGACGAGAAGCUUGCUUCUCUGAUGUUAGCGGCGGACGGGUGAGUAACACGUGGAUAACCUACCUAUAAGACUGGGAUAACUUCGGGAAACCGGAGCUAAUACCGGAUGAUAUUUUGAACCGCAUGGUUCAAAAGUGAAAGACGGUCUUGCUGUCACUUAUAGAUGGAUCCGCGCUGCAUUAGCUAGUUGGUAAGGUAACGGCUUACCAAGGCAACGAUGCAUAGCCGACCUGAGAGGGUGAUCGGCCACACGGGAACUGAGACACGGUCCAGACUCCUACGGGAGGCAGCAGUAGGGAAUCUUCCGCAAUGGGCGAAAGCCUGACGGAGCAACGCCGCGUGAGUGAUGAAGGUGUUCGGAUCGUAAAACUCUGUUAUUAGGGAAGAACAUAUGUGUAAGUAACUGUGCACAUCUUGACGGUACCUAAUCAGAAAGCCACGGCUAACUACGUG